UGGGGAAUAUUGGACAAUGGGCGCAAGCCUGAUCCAGCCAUGCCGCGUGGAUGAAGAAGGCCCUAGGGUUGUAAAGUCCUUUCGGUGGUGAAGAUAAUGACGGUAACCACAGAAGAAGCCCCGGCUAAUUUCGUGCCAGCAGCCGCGGUAAUACGAAAGGGGCUAGCGUUGUUCGGAAUUACUGGGCGUAAAGCGCACGUAGGCGGCCUUGUAAGAUGGGGGUGAAAUCCCUGGGCUCAACCCAGGAACUGCCUUCAUGACUGCAAAGCUCGAGGAUGUGAGAGGUUGGCGGAAUUCCGAGUGUAGAGGUGAAAUUCGUAGAUAUUCGGAAGAACACCAGUGGCGAAGGCGGCCAACUGGCACAUUUCUGACGCUGAGGUGCGAAAGCGUGGGGAGCAAACAGGAUUAGAUACCCCAGUAGUCCCUGAGCGGGCUGGCAAGGCGCAU
rnacentral:rRNA from 1 species